GACACGACUCUCGGCAAAGGAUAUCUCGGCUCUUGCAUCGAUGAAGAGCGCAGCGAAAUGCGAUACGUGGUGCGAAUUGCAGAAUCCCGCGAAC
rnacentral:rRNA from 1 species